rnacentral:tRNA from 2 species
GCCGACUUAGCUCAGUUGGCAGAGCGCAUCAUUAGUAAUGAUGAGGUCAACAGUUCGAAUCUGUUAGUCGGCA